ACUAAGUCACUUUGUCUUUAUGGCAAAUGUGAGAUGCAGUGUAUGGAAUGUCAAAUUUCUAGUAUGAGAAAUUAACGAUUUAAGUCCUUCUUAAAUGAGGCCAUUUACCCAUAGAGGGUGCCAGGCCCGUAUAACGUUAAUGAUUACUAGAUGGCAUUUCCAAAGAGUCGUGUUGCUUGAUAGUGCAGCACUAAGUGGGUGGUAAACUCCAUCUAAAACUAAAUAUAACCAUGAGACCGAUAGUAAACAAGUACCGUGAGGGAAAGUUGAAAAGAACUCUGAAUAGAGAGUUAAAUAGUACGUGAAACUGCUUAGAGGUUAAGCCCGAUGAACCUGAAUAUCCAUUAUAGAAAAUUCAUCAUUAUGAUUUUAAUAUUAAUAAUAUUAUAAUAAUGGUGUGCAUUUUUUCUAUAACCGGACAUUGUAAUCUAUUAACAUAAAUAUAUUUAUCAUAAGAUCAAUGAUGCGUAAGUUUAUUUAAAUUAUUUUGCUUGCAAUUUAACAUAGAAUAAAUGCUCUUGAUUUGAUAAAGUGUUGAUAGAUUUAUUGUAUAUAGUGCUUAAAUAUUUAUAUUUUAUAAUAGCAUAUUAAUCAUUGAUUUUUAUGUUUAUUUAUAUGCACUUAUAUGAUUAACAAUGCGAAAGAUUCAGGAUACCUUCGGGACCCGUCUUGAAACACGGACCAAGGAGUCUAACAUAUUUGCAAGUUAUUGGGUAUCAAAACCUAAUAGCGAAAUUAACAUAACUUUUAAUGGGAUUAGUUUUUAGAUUAUUUUUAUAGUCUAUUAAUUCAAUCCCGGGGCGUUCUAUAUAGUUAUGUAUAAUAAUAUUUAUAUUAUUUAUACCUCUAACUAGAGCGUACCUUGAGCAUAUAUGCUGUGACCCGAAAGAUGGUGAACUAUACUUGAUCAGGUUGAAGUCAGGGGAAACCCUGAUGGAAGACCGAAACAGUUCUGACGUGCAAAUCGA
rnacentral:rRNA from 1 species